AGACAGCUGUUUCAGUAUAGAUCCACUCACAAACUCACAGUCAGCUCCCAGGGAGUGACAGAUCAAGGGAUGAAUACAGGAUAGAGAGAUUGACAGACUGGAUAAAAAUUACUACAACAGUGUGCGCGUGUGUGUGUGUGCUCUCAAUAUUUGUUUGGAUCAGUUUCAUGAAUGGGGAAUUUUAACUGACACAUGGACAGGUAAAUGUUUUCACCUGAUAGUCAGGGUCAAGGUGUGAGAGCUCAGGUAGCCCUCUCUGUGUUUGUAAACACAGCUCAUGCAGCUGUGUGCAGGUGCUAUGUUUUAUUUCUGUUCUUAAAAACUUGUAAGAAAGAAAAACACACUUGUCUUACAAUUGCCUGAACCAUGUGUGUCAGACUAUAGAACACAUUCGUCAGUCAGUGUAAAGACAUGCCAAUGUUACGUAAUUCUGACAGCCAAGAGCUGGUCUCACGUACCUCAUACCUCGUCACUGCCUGGCAUGAAUUUCUUCAUGUUUUUCUGUCUGCAUAUAGUCUAAAUGUACAGAGAGAGAUAGAGAGAGAGAGGAGUCUCUCCGAAUGGAGAUGGUCAGGUUGUGAAAUUAAAUUGAUUGUUAUACUAUUGUGUAUGAAUGACAUGUCUGUAAGUAUAACUAUAAACUAAGUGUUUGACAACCCUAUGUCUAUGAUUAUCAUUAUAGGAACCAUAAGUGUCAAUGCUUCUGUCAUGGACACCCCCCUCCCCACCUGCAAACAAACAGUUAUCCUAUGAAACACUGAAACAAACCCCCCCCC
rnacentral:misc_RNA from 1 species